UCCUCCCCUUCUCCCCUCUCUCUACCCAUCUCUCCUUAUAUCCACCCCCUCCCCGUGCACCCAAGUUUUGCAUGGAAAUCCUGUCUACUUAAAAAUAUGGAACGGUUCAUGAAUUUGCGUGCCAUCCUUGCGCAGGGGCCAUACUAAUCUUCUCUGUAUCGUUCCAGUUUUAGUACAUGUGCUGCCGAAGCGAGCACAGGAAACUUUCUUUUUGCAACAGACUUAAACCAUUAUAGAAAACCACAGCCAAUAAAAACGCUGAACUGUGAAGUCCAGUCCUGAUGGAUACCUCUACACAACACUCUCUCCUGCAUCUAAUGUUCAGGGAACCCUGCAGAAGAGGGGCAGAGAGAGCCAGAGGACUGGGGAGUCUGUUGUGUGAUUGUGUCCCCUAGCAACACCAGAAGCUGUACCCAUAAAGUCUCACCCACACGACUGCCCACAGGUCUAAGCUAGCCAGGCGGCCGGGAAAAACAAGCGGCUUCCCUACUACAGGCCAAACUCAAAGGUGGAAGCCCAUGAGGUCUCGACCUACACAAAGAUCUACAAGUCACUGAGGAAAACUGGGAGUGGAAGUAGUGACCCUCCUCAGGGACGUCAGUGAUGGAGAGCAAAGCAACCAGCUGUGCACAACCAGGAGCUGCUGCAGGAUUCUUCAGUGUACGCAGCAACUGCUGGAUUCCCUUACAUCUGUUCAGAGGAAUCAUGCAUCUCUUACGUGCAUACACAUCAUAUGUGACACACAUGGCACACAUGAAUUCAGCUCAAGAAGAUCUACCAUUUUGAUAUUUUUCAAGAAUAUAGAUGAUUUGCAUGAAGGUACUAUAUGGCUAUGGUUUCAAAUGCAAUUUUUGGGUUAAAUUCUUGGGGGUAAAUUAUUCAUUAAAGAAUGAUUAAUCCACUG